UCCUCCCUCUUUCUUCGUGCUUCCCCCCUGCACGUCGACCGGAAAGGCCCUGCUUUUGUGGGGUGCUCGAGUGGCGAACGGGUGAGUAACACGUGAGUAACCUGCCCUUGACUUUGGGAUAACUUCAGGAAACUGGGGCUAAUACCGGAUAGGAGCUCCUGCUGCAUGGUGGGGGUUGGAAAGUUUCGGCGGUUGGGGAUGGACUCGCGGCUUACCAGCUUGUUGGUGGGGUAGUGGCUUACCAAGGCUUUGCCGGGUAGCCGGCCUGAGAGGGUGACCGGCACCAUUGGGACGGAGAUACGGCCCAGACUCUUACGGAAGGCAGCAUGGGGGAAAAUGGCACAAGGGCGGAAGCCUGAUGCAGCAACGCCGCGUGCGGGAUGACGGCCGUCGGGUUGUAAACCGCUUUCGCCUGUGACGAAGCGUGAGUGACGGUAAUGGGUAAAGAAGCACCGGCUAACUACGUG
rnacentral:rRNA from 1 species